rnacentral:lncRNA from 1 species
AGUAUACCGAAACGGUUGUCCAAGGCUCCAACCUACCCGACCGAGCCCAGUCCUGGCUCGAGUAGGUCAGUAACCGAGGCAGGGCCCAAGUUCAGCUUAUAGCUUACAACAUGCACAGGUAACCAAGUAAUUCGACAAAAAUAAAAUUCAUCAUUUGAAUAGGUCGAGUGAGGUAAAGUACACACUCGCCUAACAAUGAUGGACAACUUCAUAUAACAUGUGAUUCAUGAUAAUCAAGUAAGCAAGUAACCACACAGAUUAGAAAACGGUAAGUAAACACGGUUAACAGUAAACGGUAAACGGU